UACGUAGGUGACAAGCGUUGUCCGGAUUUACUUGGCGUAAAGAGCGCGCAGGCGGUCGAUCAAGUCGAGUGUGAAAGCCCCCGGCUCAACUGGGGAGGGUCAUUCGAUACUGAUCGACUCGAAGGCAGGAGAGGGUAGUGGAAUUCCCGGUGUAGUGGUGAAAUGCGUAGAUAUCAGGAAGAACACCCGUGGCGAAAGCGGCUCUCUGGAACGGUACUGACGCUGAGACGCGAAAGCGUGGGGAGCGAACAGG
rnacentral:rRNA from 1 species